UACAGAGGUCUCAAGCGUUGUUCGGAUUUAUUGGGCGUAAAGGGCGCGUAGGCGGCUCGGCACGUCCGUUGUGAAAUCGCCCGGCUCAACUGGGCGGGGUCAGCGGAUACGGUCGAGCUUGAGCAAGCUAGGGGGCAAUGGAAUUCCCGGUGUAGUGGUGGAAUGCGUAGAUAUCGGGAGGAACACCAGUGGCGAAGGCGGUUGCCUGGGGCUUUGCUGACGCUGAUGCGCGAAAGCGUGGGGAGCGAACAGG
rnacentral:rRNA from 1 species